rnacentral:pre_miRNA from 14 species
AAAGUGAAAUGGAGCCAAGGAUGACUUGCCGGUAUAUUAGUUUGUCGCUAAAGCUAACUAGCUUUAGUUGUUGGGUACUCCCGGCAGGUCAUCCUUCGGCUAUAUUUGGCUUUCU